AGAAGAUAAGGGACUGUAACAUGAAAUUCAUCAGGCAGAGACUCCAGAAGAGGAAGCAAAGGUUGGAGUUGUGUCCUGUCAAAUGAAGUUGCUGGAUUAGCUAAUAUCAGAACAAGGUCAAUCUCAGGGUUAUGAGCAGCAAUGGCAAGAGCCAAGCACCCUCCAAAUGAAUCUCCAACUAAAUAAAUUGGCUUGUUUGGAGAUGAAGCAUGCUUCAUCCUCACAGUUCUCCCGACGAAUUUCACCAGUUCAUCAAAUGGUGUUCGAUCAUACACAGGAAUAUGCAAGCACCAAACCUGAAAAACUUUCCCAAGAGCCUUCUCAUGCAAAACAAGACCCAUGCCAGUGCCAUCCAUUCCUGGCAGAAAAAGGAGGAGAGGAGAGUCUUCCAAAGGAGGGCCAGCUGAUAUGGGAGUAAACCACCGCGGAGGACCUCCAUCAGGCUUAAUAAUCUCUGAUCCUAUCUCAAGAUAAUCCUUAACAGUUUGAGUUCCAUAUCCAUCAUCCCAAAGAGUUUCCAACUUGUUUUGAAUAUCCUCCUUGUUCUUCUCCUUAAUAGCUGGAGCCAGAUGACUAUUUUUCACAUCAAUUAUUGUGCUACUUUUCUCCUUUUCUUCAAUGGAGGACACACCAUUAACUAUAACAGAAUCUGAAGACAAAAAUGUAGAGUCCCUGUUAGCUAAGCAUGCGAACCGAGCUAUACAGUGAGGCUUAUAGUCCGGACUAAGACCAAAACGAGGGACUGCCCAGAAAUUAUGCAGAAGAGAAGCCAUGGUUUGCAACAAAUGGCCACAAACUGCAAAGUUUCAAACUUCUGUAGAAAUACUGUAAUGUUUU
rnacentral:misc_RNA from 1 species